GCCGUGCAGGGCCGGGUGGAUGUUGUUGACCUUGGCGGGCGCCCCGGCGACCGCGGCUUUCCCCCCGCCCGACGAGGCGGAGGGCUGAGGAUUGUCUGAACUAAGUACACCUGGUGACCUGGGGUCGGCGAGAGGGCCCGACGUCGCCCUGGGGACGUGAUUAGGGAGUCCCUCUACAGCGGCGGUGCUGUUAGGCCUCGCCCCGGAAUGCCUGCUGCCCUCAGGCCCCGGCGGAGGGCCGUUUCCUGAAGGCCUGCUCUCUUUGGUUAAGGUAAUGCCUUGCUGUCCACCUGAGGUAGCAGUGUGAGGAGGAGGAGGAGUAGGAGGAGGAGGAGGAGAGGACAGGUGAUUGAGAGCGGCCCUCUGCAGUAACGAAUCGCUAGGCGCGGUGGAAUGUCCGACCUGAUUUCGAAUACUGGUUCCAGCUGCCUGGAAAGGCGGGGCGGGAGUGCCAGUGGAAGAGAAAGGCCAUUCGCCAUUGGGACCUGCCGAAUGCGAACCUGGACCUUUGUGAAGCCCCUGUGGGUGAAAAGAAAAAAAUAUUAAACAUGUAGAAAAUGAACUGGAAAAACUCAAACAUUCACCACAAUUAAGAAACUGUACAGAGCCACUCGACUACCCCCUUAUCGAACAUGUAGUUUCCACUUUGUUCAUUUAAUGUUCAACAAAGUGGAACAUUAAUGCCUGGUUGAGCUCCUUUCUCUCUGAAAUAAAGAAACCCAUCGAACUCACAGGGACUUUAUAAGAACACGCACUUUGGAUCUAGAUUCAAGGUUUAUCAUAGAAAGCAUGCCUGCCCUAUAGACAGAAGGGGUGCCUGCAUUGACAUUAUCCUGAGCAUAAGUCAAUAGACGUCCUCCUUCUUCCUUUCAUACGCUGAAGCUACAAAGAUCAUCUUCAUUAAACUGAACCGUUAAGCGCUAGUGUAUUAAACAGCAAACAGCUUUUAUCGAUGAAAUUAAUGAAAAUUAAAGGUGAGCGCUUCAUACUCUAUGGUUUUCAAGCUUAUACAGCAGCACCUCUGAUUAGGAAUCCCUGUUCUACACGGCAAGGGCAGAUAACACCAUUAUCAGUAACAUCUAGAUCUUAUUAAAAACGUUCCACAGUUGUGACCUUUAAUAAGGCCGCCUUUUGUAAUUUUAUGCUUAAUAAUCCAUCACAAAGUACUAAAUUUGAGUCAACCACACAUUCUCUAAUGCGUAACUUGCAGUAAUGAAUACUGGACCUAUGAGGCAGUUGUAUGCAACUUGAAAGUCAUUUGAAUGCCUGAAUAUUCGAACAUGAAAGAUUCAAAUGAGUGGCAGUGUUAUUCAUGUCUUUAACAUUGCUCUUGAAAGGAGUGCCUGCCAAAUGCCUAUAAACAUAAUAUGUUUACAUUGUAACAUGAAGCCGAAAAACACAUUUCCACCAAGCGUGGACACCAAAGUCUAAAGUAAACAGACAGCCAUACGAGCGGCGGCUAACCGCUAACGGGUGGCGGCGCACCUGAGAGGAGUUAACGUGUUGGGUUUUCCACAGCUCGCCUGCGCUGCCGCUGCUGGUCGGGGUUGUGCAGUUGUGAGGUAGUGCGUUUCGCUGCAGAGCCCACAAAAUGUACCGUUCUUUCACCCUUUUGGCCAAUGUUCAAAAGACAACAUCGGACCUGAACCUUGAACUGACCUUGGCCGGGCUGGACGUGCGCUUCCUCUUGGCGGGGCUGGACUGGUCGUCGCCCUGGCCCAAGGGGCCCGCGUGCGGAGGCAGCGUGUGGGGCGUUGUGGGCGGCUGGCUCAGACCCCCACCUUCAGUACUCUGACUGGGCUUGCAGGCCUGCCAUGGGAAAGGAGAGCAGAGAGGACAUGCCGUGACGUUUCCCCCCUAUGCCACCGGCGUGCGGAAACGCACUGAAAUUCAUGUCAUGAAAUCAGUAAUACUAGUUCUGUUAUUUAGCCGAUGCUUUUAUCCGAAGCGACUUACAGUUUAGUAGACUAAGCGGGGGACAAUCCCACCAGGAGCAAUAUGGGAUUAAAGGCCUUCCUCAAGGGCCCAGCAGUUGCACUGAUCUUACUGCGGCUACACUGGGAUCUGAGAUCGAUCAACCAACCUGCCAGGUCCCAGUCAUGAACCUUAGCAACUGGGCUACUGGCUGCCCCUCAAAGUAACCUUCCGUUCUGUUAAAAAUAAAAUAUUACAGCCA